rnacentral:lncRNA from 1 species
GACAAAGACAAAAACAGUCCACAUGUGAUUUCUUCUAUUUUGGAAUGUGUAGAUCACUCACUUAACUUUCCCUGAGCUUCAUGAGCUCUGCCUUCCAGUUUAAGCCCUGGAAAUACAUAACGAAGCACAAAAGCCAGCUUUGCUUUAUGAGCUCCAUGGAAAAGACACACAAUAAAAUGGUCAUAUUUUAAUGUGAAAAAUGUUAAUGACAAGUAAAGCCAAGUGUGUCAAGGGGACAUAGUAAAGGGGCCUAAUGUGGCUUGGAGAGUCAGGGAGGGCUCGUGCUUUGUACAACGGCUUUGUAUCUAAACUCUCAUACAAAGGGUGAGAAGUUGGCCAGGCAAAGAUGGGGAAUUUGUGGAAGGGGUCAUGAAAGAUUUGAGGGCUGGAAGAAAUUUCACUCUGGCUAGGGCAUAGAGCGCGAACUAGGUUCUCAGACCCGAAGCCAGAGGAAUGAGUAGAAACUACAUCACGGGACCUUGGAAACCAACGUUAAGAAGCUGCCAAAGCACCUUGAGGAGAAAGACUUGAUUAGUAUUAUAUUGAAACAUGAAUUAUUUGGGAAAUGUCAAGGUGUCUGAAAAGUGGAAUGAGUUAAAAUUGAGGAAGGAAGCAUUCUAGGUGUGAUAUUACAUUUUUUACUUGAAAGUCAUUAAUCCAGACAAAGCUCAGAAUCUUAGGAGACUUACUCUGGACCUCAGGAUAUCUCAUCACGAGCAAAAUUCCCCAGUGCAAUGUGGAGGCUGUGGUCUCUGUACCUGUCGUGAACAGAUUAUUAACAAGUGUCACCAACUUUUUAUCACUGAAAUAGUCAGCAAAUGUGUCAUUCUCCUGAAAGAGUAAAAUGAACCACCG